AGCAGCCGCGGUAAUUCCAGCUCCAAUAGCGUAUAUUAAAGUUGUUGCAGUUAAAAAGCUCGUAGUUGAAUUUCGGGAUUAGUAAGUUGGUCGUGCCUCUGGUAUGUACUGGCUUUACUGGUUCCUCCUUCUUGAAGAACUGUAAUGUCAUUAAUUUGGUGUUGCAGGGAAACAGGACUGUUACUUUGAAAAAAUUAGAGUGUUUAAAGCAGGCUAACGCUUGAAUACAUUAGCAUGGAAUAAUGAAAUAGGACGUUUGAUCCUAUUUUGUUGGUUUCUAGGAUUGACGUAAUGAUUAAUAGGGAUAGUUGGGGGCAUUAGUAUUCAAUUGUCAGAGGUGAAAUUCUUGGAUUUAUUGAAGACUAACUACUGCGAAAGCGUUUGCCAAGGAUGUUUUCAUUAAUCAAGAACGAAAGUUAGGGGAUCGAAGACGAUCAGAUACCGUCGUAGUCUUAACCAUAAACUAUGCCGACUAGGGAUCGGAUGAUGUUAAUUUUUUAAUGUACUCAUUCGGCGCCUU
rnacentral:rRNA from 1 species